GAUGAACGCUGGCGGCGUGCUUAACACAUGCAAGUCGAACGGUGAAGCUCCAGCUUGCUGGAGUGGAUCAGUGGCGAACGGGUGAGUAACACGUGAGCAACCUGCCCCUGACUCUGGGAUAACAGCCGGAAACGGCUGCUAAUACCGGAUAUGCACCAUGAACGCAUGUUCUGCGGUGGGAAAGAUUGUUCGGUUGGGGAUGGGCUCGCGGCCUAUCAGCUUGUUGGUGAGGUAAUGGCUCACCAAGGCGGCGACGGGUAGCCGGCCUGAGAGGGUGACCGGCCACACUGGGACUGAGACACGGCCCAGACUCCACCGGGAGGCAGCAGUGGGGAAUAUUGCACAAUGGGCGAAAGCCUGAUGCAGCAACGCCGCGUGAGGGAUGACGGCCUUCGGGUUGUAAACCUCUUUUAGCAGGGAAGAAGCGAGAGUGACGGUACCUGCAGAAAAAGCGCCGGCUAACUACGUG
rnacentral:rRNA from 1 species